UACGGAGGGUGCGAGCGUUGUCCGGAAUCACUGGGCGUAAAGCGCACGUAGGCGGCUUCGCAAGUCGGAUGUGAAAUCCCUCGGCUCAACCGAGGACGUGCAUCCGAAACUGCGGAGCUUGAGUACUGAAGAGGAUCGCGGAAUUCCCGGUGUAGAGGUGAAAUUCGUAGAUAUCGGGAGGAACACCAGUGGCGAAGGCGGCGAUCUGGGCAGUUACUGACGCUGAGGUGCGAAAGCGUGGGGAGCAAACAGG
rnacentral:rRNA from 1 species